UACGUAGGGUCCGAGCGUUGUCCGGAAUUAUUGGGCGUAAAGGGCUCGUAGGCGGUUUGUUGCGUCGGGAGUGAAAAACUUACAGCUUAACUGUGAGCGUGCUUCCGAUACGGGCAGACUUGAGGUAUUCAGGGGGAGAACGGAAUUCCUGGUGUAGCGGUGAAAUGCGCAGAUAUCAGGAGGAACACCGGUGGCGAAGGCGGUUCUCUGGGAAUAUCCUGACGCUGAGGAGCGAAAGUGUGGGGAGCGAACAGG
rnacentral:rRNA from 1 species